UACGAAGGGGGCUAGCGUUGUUCGGAAUUACUGGGCGUAAAGCGCACGUAGGCGGAUAUUUAAGUCAGGGGUGAAAUCCCAGAGCUCAACUCUGGAACUGCCUUUGAUACUGGGGUAUCUUGAGUAUGGAAGAGGUAAGUGGAAUUGCGAGUGUAGAGGUGAAAUUCGUAGAUAUUCGGAAGAACACCAGUGGCGAAGGCGACUUCCUGGCCUGUUCUUGACGCUGAGGCGCGAAAGCUAGGGUAGCAAACGGG
rnacentral:rRNA from 1 species